rnacentral:rRNA from 1 species
UACGGGGGGAGCAAGCGUUGUUCGGAUUUACUGGGCGUAAAGGGCGCGUAGGCGGCCACCGCAAGUCGACUGUGAAAUCUCCGGGCUUAACUCGGAAAGGUCAGCCGAUACUGCGGGGCUAGAGUGCAGAAGGGGCAACUGGAAUUCUCGGUGUAGCGGUGAAAUGCGUAGAUAUCGAGAGGAACACCUGCGGCGAAGGCGGGUAGCUGGGCCGACACUGACGCUGAUGCGCGAAAGCCAGGGGAGCGAACGGG